CAGCCGCCGCGGGAACACGAAGGGUGCAAGCGUUAAUCGGAAUUACUGGGCGUAAAGCGUGCGUAGGCGGUGAGUUAAGUCUGCUGUGAAAUCCCCGGGCUCAACCUGGGAAUGGCAGUGGAUACUGGCUCGCUAGAGUGUGUCAGAGGAUGGUGGAAUUCCCGGUGUAGCGGUGAAAUGCGUAGAGAUCGGGAGGAACAUCAGUGGCGAAGGCGGCCAUCUGGGACAACACUGACGCUGAGGCACGAAAGCGUGGGGAGCAAACAGGAUUAGAUACCCCGGUAGUCCCUGUCUCUUAUAC
rnacentral:rRNA from 1 species